UACGAAGGGGGCUAGCGUUGUUCGGAAUUACUGGGCGUAAAGCGCGUGUAGGCGGGUCUUUAAGUCAGGGGUGAAAUGCCAAGGCUCAACCUUGGAACUGCCUUUGAUACUGGAGACCUUGAGUCCGGGAGAGGUGAGUGGAAUUGCGAGUGUAGAGGUGAAAUUCGUAGAUAUUAGGAAGAACACCGGUGGCGAAGGCGGCCCACUGGAUCGGUACUGACGCUGAGGUGCGAAAGCGUGGGGAGCAAACAGG
rnacentral:rRNA from 1 species